GUAGGGUAAAAGCCUACCAAGGCAUCGAUCAGUAGCUGGUCUGAGAGGACGACCAGCCACACUGGAACUGAGACACGGUCCAGACUCCUACGGGAGGCAGCAGUGGGGAAUUUUGGACAAUGGGCGAAAGCCUGAUCCAGCAAUGCCGCGUGAGUGAAGAAGGCCUUCGGGUUGUAAAGCUCUUUUGUCAGGGAAGAAACGGUGAAGGCUAAUAUCCUUUGCUAAUGACGGUACCUGAAGAAUAAGCACCGGCUAACUACGUGCCAGCAGCCGCGGUAAUACGUAGGGUGCAAGCGUUAAUCGGAAUUACUGGGCGUAAAGCGUGCGCAGGCGGUUUUGUAAGUCUGAUGUGAAAUCCCCGGGCUCAACCUGGGAAUUGCAUUGGAGACUGCAAGGCUAGAAUCUGGCAGAGGGGGGUAGAAUUCCACGUGUAGCAGUGAAAUGCGUAGAUAUGUGGAGGAACACCGAUGGCGAAGGCAGCCCCCUGGGUCAAGAUUGACGCUCAUGCAC
rnacentral:rRNA from 1 species